GAUGAAGAACGUAGCGAAAUGCGAUAAGUAAUGUGAAUUGCAGAAUUCAGUGAAUCAUCGAAUCUUUGAACGCACCUUGCGCUCCUUGGUAUUCCGAGGAGCAUGCCUGUUUGAGUGUCAUGAAAUUCUCAACCUUUUCAGCUUUCUUUGUUGAUCAGGCUUGGAUGUGGGAGUAUGCGGGCUUCUCAGAAGUCGGCUCUCCUGAAAUGCAUUAGCGGGACCUUUGUUGCCUGGCUUUGGUGUGAUAAUUAUCUACGCCAUUGUAGUCAAGCAGCUUAAAAUGAGGUUUCAGCUUCUAACCGUCUCCCCUGAGACAACUUUUUGACAAUUUGACCUCAAAUCAGGUAGGACUACCCGCUGAACUUAAGCAUAUCAAUAGCGGAGGA
rnacentral:misc_RNA from 1 species